AGCGGGGAGAGUUGGCAGGCACUGUGCCGAAUCCAGAAUGCGGUGAAGAAAAUUCGGGAGAGACUGCCUCGAUCACGGCGGUAUCCGAACAGGAAGUACACCGCAGUCAACCGGCGAUGUCAGUGCUCCGGCUAAAAGUAGCAAUCGGAUUUUGUCGUAGGCGGAGUUGGGCUUAAUUCGAUAUAUUUGCAUGGUCGUUGUGGGAGCAGAUCGCUGCUCCUGGGCAUCGAAGUUGGGGAGAUAUGGAGUCAUGAGGUAGUUUGGCACAUCACCGUGAAUCGACAGUGGCAUGAUUUCCUGGUUGAAGAAGAUCUACAGCACAGCUUUUACUCAUGGCAGUGGUUGUAAUUCCCAAGAGUUUUGGGAGUCCAUGGCCGUGCCAUGCGCCUCGAUCUCGGGCACGCAUCCCGUCUUGUCUCAUGAAAAGACCCCUAUGGUUGCAGUCGUAUGGUCUAGUGGGCGACGACGAGGUGCUUGAUUGAUUGCAGGGUUGGUUCCUAUAGCGUUGACCGCAUCAUGUCCUUAAGCUGUGUUCGCGACCUCUAAUCUGAAUCUUGCCCACUGCUUCUCUGUCUCCGGGGAUUAGCUUCCAAGGUCGAGUCUAGUCUCAGCGACGCGGAAGAUUCUGCAUCCUCUCAUGUGAUUGUCGAGAUUGUCCCUCAGGAUGCCUUGGUGGUGAGAUUUGAGAGCUGUUGGGGUGGAUGGAUCCAUGGUCGGCGCACCAAAUGGAGGGGGAAUCGUGACGACGCGAAGGCUUGAAUUACACCGUGAUCGAUUCUCAGGUUGCUGAGAGUUUUCGGACUCGUCUCUCUGGAUACGUUGUGAGAUUUCGUCUGUAGCCCGUCUUAGGAAGAGUGUUUUCCACGAUUUCGAAGUUUGGUAAAGCUCAUGCCAAGGGUGAGGUUUCUGUUCAUCAGGGGCGAGCUUCCUUCGACACAUUUACUAGUCAGUGAAACAAAAGUACACGGAAUGAGUCGGAGAAGAAGACGAAAUGUAGUUUCAACAACGAGAGGGAUUUUGUUUUGCUUCUCGUAAGAAUCAGUACGGGUUGCUAUUCUCACCGCCUAUAUGGCUAGCUAUGGUUUGCGUAUCUUUACUGGGAGGACGCGAGCCAUUUGCGAGCACCUUUGUCGCACUUUGUUUCCGGUGCACUGGGACUGGCGAAUUCCUAAGUCGUCGAGGUGUAGAGAUGCAACUGCUUGGGGAAGCCUAAUGUUAGUGGUUCUUUCUAAGCUUUGAGUUCGUGACGGAUAACGGCAACGCUCAAUUCUGAAAGGUUUCAGUGUAGUUCCACAUUUGGAGAUGAAGGAGGUAUUUAGGGCUUCUUACUACUGGUGCCAACAGCUUACAUAGUUGUGUGCAUUUUUUCUUAAUUUUGUUUCCUGGAUUUGAAAUAUACAUUAAAUCCUGCAAUGACGAACGAGAUUAGGAAGCCAGAAGUGAGUGAGCGAAUUCUCGAGAGCACCGAGAUUAGGACUUCUGAAUAUUCCACCUUGGCGGCACUGAUGGGCAUGGAAGACUCAACAAACGCGAGAUGCUGGCAGGGAGAGACGGAGCUAGGAGUUGGGUUGGGGUUUGGCAGUUCUUUAACAAGGCAAAAAGAGAGCUGCUUUUCACCUUAUGCUGGAUUCGAAAUUCUCGAAAAAUCAAGAUCGACGCAGCUAGGGACACCCAAGCAUCAUCGUCCAGGCCAUGGAGUCUUCACGUGCUUCCGGCACAGUACUCUGAACCUGGCGGUUCCGGAUUUGGAACCCAGCACACCACCGUCUAGGAGUGGACCCAUAGCAGCGCCUCGCACGAACGGUACUGCAAAUAUCAAAUCUUCUUUCAUGGACGAGGCUAUUGUUCACCACUACCAACAACCUCACAGUGAUGGGGAUCUGGAUCUCGAGGAACCUACCUCUCCAGUUGUGAAUUGCAUGGGCCAAGUGCGACAAAAGAAGGCGGAGCGGCGGCCUAAGAAGGUUGAGCCACCGAGGGAACUGGACCCCAGGGAGAAGCUACGGAGGAUGAAGUCGCAAGCGCCAAGGACACCACCAGCAAAGGCAACUAAGUCCAAGUCGUGCAAGUGGAAGCAGCUCAUGCGAUCCACGUCGAGCUCCAUAAGUCCCAGCAACCAUCCCCUCGGUGACGGAGAGCCUGAUAUAAUUGACCUCGGUCGCUUCAGCUCCGCAAGUUGCUCCUCAGAGCCUUUCAUCCACAGUACCGGAGAAGUGUCGUGCCAGAUUGACAAGCGCUCGGAUAAAACAUUUCAGCUAAUGCGGCGGAAGACUGUUUGGAGCUGCACCCCUAGUUCUGAUACCUGCCGAGGAAACGAGACCUCGCCCACACGCUCGCAAGAACUGGAUGCUGCAACCGAUUCUGCAAAUGUGGAAAGCGAGCUUAGAAGAACAGUGACCGAGUGUGAACCAGUAUUCAAAAAGCUUCCAAGCUUGAAGACGAUGAGAGUGGAAUCCCCCAAGUGGCUCGCAGGCGAGCCAUUGAGGGGCAGACGACAGGUGGCACUGAAGCAGAUAAUGAGUUCAUCCACUUCACCUUCGAACAGUAUUUGAUUCUUGUGGAAGACAGACACAGCUUUGAUCUUUGAGGGUGGAAUCGAUUCCCAGCCAAGUUGUAAGUCUGAGCGAGGUCAGCAGUAGAAAACGUCGCGAUUGUCGAGCAUUGUAGUCCAUGAACUGGUUACAUUUGUCUCGGAAGUGGCGACUGCUUCAAGAGCGAUGAAAGAAUCUUCAAGACAGCCAGACGAGGCUUCGAAGUGCUGCUCCUUGCUGCCUGGGGUCUGUGGGUGUGGGGCAGCGGCCGAUUACCACCCUGUUCCACUGGAUCCAUCUGCUCUACGGCUCACCGUGAAGCAUUCCAUAUUGUCCAGAUCGAUGUAGAAGAAAAUUUCCUCACGUUUAUGACAAUAAAUGUAGAGGGUUUUACCACGAAUCGGGUUCAUUCACGAAAUGAACCCCGAAAUUUAAGCCAUUGUUCCUGCAUCAAUAGUGAUUGGCGUAUGUUAUUAUCAAGUGAUUGAGGAAAUAGAGAUAUCAGUGAUUUGGACUUGCGCUGCCGUUUUCGAAGUUGUCAAGAGUAGGCCGCCUUCUCACCUGGCGAAGUCAAGCAGAAGGCUGAAUCGGCUUAACAUAUCGGAGUCUCAGAGAUCACUCUUCCCAAUCAUGGAACUCGGCACCUCAACCAUGUACCUGGAUUUUACACUGGCGCCGAGUGGUUCAAGGACGAGCACUUUGAAGAGCUUCUUCGCUGUCGGGCUGGGGCAACACCGUCUCUUUUUCUGGCGAUCAAGGGAAACUGUGGACAGUUUGACGUAUUUUUAAAGUUUCCUCGUUCCAUCUAGUGGUUUCUGGAAGGAUACGGAUAAUUCUUGCCAGAUAUGCGGCAGCCGUGUGGGCGAAGGAUCACGCGCAUGUAACGCCGCACUGUCCAAACUAAGAAUUGCGAUGAGCGGCCCAGAUGUUGCGGUCAGGAGGGUGAGGAGAAGAUUCUCGACACGUAUUCGGUGGACUCGUCAACCAAAGCUGGAGUCUCUCGACCCGCUCUUCUUCAAUGGCUUCCCAUCCCUGGUUCCACAGUUGCGCAAUUUAUUGGCGUACAGCACGGCAGUUGGUUUUGAGAAACCCUUGCAGGUUCGAAAUCCAGACCCAGUUGCAGUCCUCAUCGUCGUCUUCCUCAUUCGAUACAAUCAACGCAGAAUCUACCCAAUCGAACUGGUCGAUCGGUGUCUAAACCUAGUUUCUGCUGAAAUCUUCUCAUGACUGUUGGUGGCAGUGAAACCUGGUAGCAAUCGUUAACGCUGGAUUCUGGAAACCAUCUCUGCUCACAAAACACGAAUAGGAUCAGCUUAGGUUAGUAAGGGAAUUGGUUGUUGCGAAUUCGACCGUAGGCUUCCUUGUGUUCCAGUCUGAAAUUAGUGGGAGAUAGAGCCUUUCAAACAAUCAGCGUCAGAUCGGGUUCAUCGUGUUUCUGUUUCCUCAAGGUGAUCGUCUUCGAUUUCGCAGAUAAUUCGGCUUCCGAACCCCUUCAUCUGUUCCAACAACGUGUGCGCGGAGUCAAGUCAGCGAAGUCGUGAACGCAUAACACAUCCACCAUCUCUCCUUGGCACCAUGUUUUGCUUCUUCGUGUGCGAUGAACAACGCGACGUGGUAGCCAGCCGCCCAGUCUAUGGCGUGUGCGGCAACUGCGGCGCCAUGCUGAACGACGUGGAGGUGCGAGACACGUACCGCUUCUGCUUCAUCCCGGUGUUCUGGCAAUACAAGAAUCGCGUCAUGUGCCCUCGCUGUGGAGCUCAAUACCGGAGUCACUACUAGACACUCUCAACACACACAAACCCUAAUUCACUCACUCUCGUGUAUUAUUUUCUCAUGGUUUUGGGAUUUUGAAGCAUGAUCAGCCAUGUUUGUUUUACUGAAGGAGGUGCUGGGUUCUUGGAGCAGGUGUACAUUUUUAGGGUUAUACAAUUCUUAGACACAAAUUAGAUAUAUAGACUUUUACAAAUAUAUAGACUUGUUUCAAAAGUUUUUUACUUUAAAAAAGUUGUAUUGAAAGCAACCUGCAACUUGAAGUUUGGAUUACAAACGUUGCAGUGCCAAUGAAGCUUCCACUAGACUAUAUUUUUAGGUAGUAUAUAUGGAAGCAAGACUAAUGCAAUCUUGUCAAUAUCUUUCUUGUAUUCAAAUCUUAGUUCAAGAUUGUAUAGCAUCUUUAUAUUUCAUAGUGGUUAUUUUAA